rnacentral:rRNA from 1 species
AGCAGCCGCGGUAAUUCCAGCUCCAAUAGCGUAUAUUAAAGUUGUUGCAGUUAAAAAGCUCGUAGUUGAAUUUCGGGAUCAAUUCGUCGGUCGUGCCUCGGUACGUACUAACGAUAUUGAUUUCUCCCUUCUGACGAACCGUGAUGUCAUUAAUUUGGUGUUACGGGGAGUUAGGACUGUUACUUUGAAAAAAUUAGAGUGUUUAAAGCAAGCAAUCGCUCGAAUACAUUAGCAUGGAAUAAUGAAAUAGGACGUUCGAACCUAUUUUGUUGGUUUCUAGGAUCGACGUAAUGAUUAAUAGGGAUAGUUGGGGGCAUUAGUAUUCAAUUGUCAGAGGUGAAAUUCUUGGAUUUAUUGAAGACUAACUACUGCGAAAGCAUUUGCCAAGGAUGUUUUCAUUAAUCAAGAACGAAAGUUAGGGGAUCGAAGACGAUCAGAUACCGUCGUAGUCUUAACCAUAAACUAUGCCGACUAGGGAUCGGAUGAUGUUAAUUUUUUAAUGACUCAUUCGGCGCCUUACG